AUUGAACGCUGGCGGCAGGCUUAACACAUGCAAGUCGAGCGGGGGAGGUUGCUUCGGUAACUGACCUAGCGGCGGACGGGUGAGUAAUGCUUAGGAAUCUGCCUAUUAGUGGGGGACAACAUUCCGAAAGGGAUGCUAAUACCGCAUACGCCCUACGGGGGAAAGCAGGGGAUCUUCGGACCUUGCGCUAAUAGAUGAGCCUAAGUCGGAUUAGCUAGUUGGUGGGGUAAAGGCCUACCAAGGCGACGAUCUGUAGCGGGUCUGAGAGGAUGCUCCGCCCCCCUGGGCCUGAGACCCGGCCCAGCUUCCUACGGCGGGUAGCAGUGCGGUAUAUUGGACAAUGGGGGGAACCCUGCUCCAGCCAUGCCUCGUGUGUGAAGAAGGCCUUAUGGUUGUAAAGCACUUUACGCGAGGAGGAGGCUACUGAGACUAAUACUCUUGGCUAGUGGACGUUACUCGCACAAUAAGCACCGGCUCACUCUGUGCCAGCCGCCGCCGUAACAC
rnacentral:rRNA from 1 species